CCCAGCGCUCAGUCAGCUGACCAGGCCACGUGUCUGACUCGGUGUUACAGUGCUGGUAGAGAAAGUCUCAGUAUCAGCUCUGAGCUCUGCAGGUUCUGUUUUAGAGUCUGUUGCUUCUGAGCUGCUGCUGAGCAUGGCCCGACGAGAGUGGCCUGUCCUGAUCCCAGCAGGUCAGGCCUAGUACAAGGCCGCACACU